UACGAAGGGUGCAAGCGUUGUUCGGAAUUACUGGGCGUAAAGCGCACGUAGGCGGAUACUUAAGUUAGGGGUGAAAUCCCGGGGCUCAACCCCGGAACUGCCUUUAAUACUGGGUAUCUCGAGUUCGAGAGAGGUGAGUGGAAUUCCGAGUGUAGAGGUGAAAUUCGUAGAUAUUCGGAAGAACACCAGUGGCGAAGGCGGCUCACUGGACUGGUAUUGACGCUGAGGUGCGAAAGCGUGGGGAGCAAACAGG
rnacentral:rRNA from 1 species